rnacentral:rRNA from 1 species
GAUGAACGCUGGCGGCGUGCCUAAUACAUGCGAGUCGAGCGAACAGACGAGGAGCUUGCUCCUCUGACGUUAGCGGCGGACGGGUGAGUAACACGUGGAUAACCUACCUAUAAGACUGGGAUAACUUCGGGAAACCGGAGCUAAUACCGGAUAAUAUAUUGAACCGCAUGGUUCAAUAGUGAAAGACGGUUUUGCUGUCACUUAUAGAUGGAUCCGCGCCGCAUUAGCUAGUUGGUAAGGUAACGGCUUACCAAGGCGACGAUGCGUAGCCGACCUGAGAGGGUGAUCGGCCACACUGGAGCUGAGACACGGUCCAGACUCCUACGGGAGGCAGCAGUAGGGAAUCUUCCGCAAUGGGCGAAAGCCUGACGGAGCAACGCCGCGUGAGUGAUGAAGGUCUUCGGAUCGUAAAACUCUGUUAUUAGGGAAGAACAAAUGUGUAAGUAACUAUGCACGUCUUGACGGUACCUAAUCAGAAAGCCACGGCUAACUACGUG